AUUGAACGCUGGCGGCAGGCCUAACACAUGCAAGUCGAACGGUAACAGGAAGAAGCUUGCUUCUUUGCUGACGAGUGGCGGACGGGUGAGUAAUGUCUGGGAAACUGCCUGAUGGAGGGGGAUAACUACUGGAAACGGUAGCUAAUACCGCAUAACGUCGCAAGCCCAAAGAGGGGGACCUUCGGGCCUCUUGCCAUCGGAUGUGCCCAGGUGGGAUUAGCUAGUAGGUGGGGUAACGGCUCACCUAGGCGACGAUCCCUAGCUGGUCUGAGAGGAUGACCAGCCACACUGGAACUGAGACACGGUCCAGACUCCUACGGGAGGCAGCAGUGGGGAAUAUUGCACAAUGGGCGCAAGCCUGAUGCAGCCAUGCCGCGUGUAUGAAGACGGCCUUCGGGUUGUAAAGUACUUUCAGCGGGGAGGAAGGGAGUAAAGUUAAUACCUUUACUCAUUGACGUUACCCGCAGAAGAAGCACCGGCUAACUCCGUG
rnacentral:rRNA from 1 species